AUUAAACGAAAGAGUUUGAUCCUGGCUCAGAUUGAACGCUGGCGGCAUGCUUUACACAUGCAAGUCGAACGGCAGCACGGACUUCGGUCUGGUGGCGAGUGGCGAACGGGUGAGUAAUACAUCGGAACGUACCCAGUAAUGGGGGAUAACUAUCCGAAAGGAUAGCUAAUACCGCAUACGCCCUACGGGGGAAAGAGGGGGAUCGCAAGACCUCUUGUUAUUGGAGCGGCCGAUGGCUGAUUAGCUAGUUGGUGAGGUAAAGGCUCACCAAGGCGACGAUCAGUAGCGGGUCUUAGAGGACGAUCCGCCACACUGGAACUGAGACACGGUCCAGACUCCUACGGGAGGCAGCAGUGGGGAAUCUUGGACAAUGGGCGCAAGCCUGAUCCAGCAAUGCCGCGUGCGUGAAGAAGGCCUUCGGGUUGUAAAGCGCUUUUGUCAGGGAGCAAAAGGUGGUGGCUAAUAUCCAUCGCUCUUGAGAGUACCUGAAGAAUAAGGACCGGCUAACUACGUGCCAGCAGCCGCGGUAAUACGUAGGGUCCAAGCGUUAAUCGGAAUUACUGGGCGUAAAGCGUGCGCAGGUGGUUUGUUAAGCACGAUGUGAAAUCCCCGAGCUCAACUUGGGAAUUGCAUUGUGAACUGGCUAACUAGAGUACGGCAGAGGGGGUGGAAUUCCACGUGUAGCAGUGAAAUGCGUAGAGAUGUGGAGGAACACCGAUGGCGAAGGCAACCCCCUGGGCUGAUACUGACACUCAUGCACGAAAGCGUGGGGAGCAAACAGGAUUAGAUACCCUGGUAGUCCACGCCCUAAACGAUGUCAACUAGUUGUUGGGCUUUUCGGAGCUUAGUAACGCAGCUAACGCGUGAAGUUGACCGCCUGGGGAGUACGGUCGCAAGACUAAAACUCAAAGGAAUUGACGGGGGCCCGCACAAGCGGUGGAUGAUGUGGAUUAAUUCGAUGCAACGCGAAAAACCUUACCUGGUCUUGACAUGUACGGAAUCCUUUAGAGAUAGAGGAGUGCCUUCGGGAACCGUAACACAGGUGCUGCAUGGCUGUCGUCAGCUCGUGUCGUGAGAUGUUGGGUUAAGUCCCGCAACGAGCGCAACCCUUGCCACUAGUUGCUACCAUUCAGUUGAGCACUUUAGUGGGACUGCCGGUGACAAACCGGAGGAAGGUGGGGAUGACGUCAAGUCCUCAUGGCCCUUAUGACCAGGGCUUCACACGUCAUACAAUGGUCGGUACAGAGGGUCGCUAACCCGCGAGGGGGUGCCAAUCUCACAAAACCGAUCGUAGUCCGGAUUGCACUCUGCAACUCGAGUGCAUGAAGUCGGAAUCGCUAGUAAUCGCGGAUCAGCAUGUCGCGGUGAAUACGUUCCCGGGCCUUGUACACACCGCCCGUCACACCAUGGGAGUGGGUUUCACCAGAAGUAGGUAGGCUAACCGCAAGGAGGCCGCUUACCACGGUGGGAUUCAUGACUGGGGUGAAGUCGUAACAAGGUAGCCGUAGGGGAACCUGCGGCUGGAUCACCUCCUUUC
rnacentral:rRNA from 1 species